GGAGUUAGCCGGUGCUUCUUCUGUGAGUGAUGUCCUUCCUGCCGGUUAUUGACCCGCAGGCCUUCUUCCUCACUGAAAGUGCUUUACAACCCGAAGGCCUUCUUCACACACGCGGCAUGGCUGGAUCAGGGUUGCCCCCCAUUGUCCAAUAUUCCCCACUGCUGCCUCCCGUAGGAGUCUGGGCCGUGUCUCAGUCCCAGUGUGGCUGAUCAUCCUCUCAGACCAGCUACGGAUCGUCGCCUUGGUGAGCCGUUACCUCACCAACCAGCUAAUCCGACAUAGGCUCAUCCGAUAGCGCGAGGCCCGAAGGUCCCCCGCUUUCCCCCGUAGGGCGUAUGCGGUAUUAGCCUGGGUUUCCCCAGGUUAUCCCCCACUACCGGGCAGAUUCCUAUGCAUUACUCACCCGUCCGCCGCUCGCCACCAGGGAGCAAGCUCCCCGUGCUGCCGCUCGACUUGCAUGUGUAGCNGCCGCAGCGUCAUCUGAGCACUAACUACAACUACUGA
rnacentral:rRNA from 1 species